UAUAUGAUACAAAUGGGUGGUGCAGUAUUCUAGUCAGUCUACCUUUUCUGAAGGCGGGCCUAAAAAUCCGCUAAAGGGCACAUCGAUGAAGUUCCUUGUGUCGGCUUGAGGCGCCCAGCCUUGGGUUGAUGCUGGGAGUUAAGGUUGUAGGGCGAUCCACAAUGGCAUGUGGGCGAAGACCCUACUUCCGUGGAGGCCCAUUUUCGCGCUGGGUUUUCCCCUAGGGGAGUCAGUUGUGGAAUGGUGAUAAACCUGCUAUAUGUUUAACUGGGUUAGACAUAUACAGCGUAGCCUGCCUUGAGUGGAGUUGGAGGGGAUUAUGGUAUAGGAUCUAUUCGCUAGGCCAGUGAAUCUAUCUUUGUAUUCCAUAUGAAAUCCGCUCUGCAAAAGAGGCUAAGAACUGGUUAAAGGCUGUAGGGGAAAACUCCUAGACUGUUCCGAUUUCCAGACAUGCGUUAGGGAUUAUAGUGCGGACUAAGUGGUAAUCCAGUCUAGCUGAUGGCGACACAGCUAAGGCAGGUUUAAUGGGAAACCGCCAGUAUGGCGACAUCUGGUACUUGCUUGGGAAAACCUACUGGACCUAAGCCGCAGUCUUUACCUAAUGCAUGACCACCCUUACAUAUUUAAGU
rnacentral:sRNA from 1 species